CUGGCGGCGUGCUUAACACAUGCAAGUCGAACGGUAAGGCCCUUCGGGGUACACGAGUGGCGAACGGGUGAGUAACACGUGGGUGAUCUGCCCUGCACUUUGGGAUAAGCCUGGGAAACUGGGUCUAAUACCGAAUAGGACCAUGGACUUCACGGUUUGUGGUGGAAAGCUUUUGCGGUGUGGGAUGGGCCCGCGGCCUAUCAGCUUGUUGGUGGGGUAAUGGCCUACCAAGGCGACGACGGGUAGCCGGCCUGAGAGGGUGACCGGCCACACUGGGACUGAGAUACGGCCCAGACUCCUACGGGAGGCAGCAGUGGGGAAUAUUGCACAAUGGGCGCAAGCCUGAUGCAGCGACGCCGCGUGAGGGAUGACGGCCUUCGGGUUGUAAACCUCUUUCAGCACAGACGAAGCGCAAGUGACGGUAUGUGCAGAAGAAGGACCGGCCAACUACGUG
rnacentral:rRNA from 1 species